AUUGAACGCUGGCGGCAGGCCUAACACAUGCAAGUCGAGCGGAGCGGCGGACGGGUGAGUAAUGCCUAGGAAUCUGCCUGGUAGUGGGGGAUCACGUCCGGAAACGGGCGCUAAUACCGCAUACUAUCAGAUGAGCCUAGGUCGGAUUAGCUAGUUGGUGGGGUAAAGGCCUACCAAGGCGACGGUCCGUAACUGGUCUGAGAGGAUGAUCAGUCACACGGGAACUGAGACACGGUCCAGACUCCGACGGGAGGCAGCAGGGGGGAAUAAUGGACAAGGGGCGAAAGCCUGAUCCAGACAUGCCGCGGGUGUGAAGAAGGUUUUCGGAUUGUAAAGCAAUUUAAGUUGGGAGGCGUUACCAACAGAAUAAGCACCGGCUAACUUCGGGCCAGCAGCCGCGGUAAUUC
rnacentral:rRNA from 1 species